CUGUAAAGGGGAUGAUAUAUUAUUUUCGAGCUCUUAAGAUGUUGGCUUUCUGGAUUCUGCAUCACAGAUGGACAUUAGGG
rnacentral:snoRNA from 1 species